GUAAAUUUAUCUUAUUCUUGGUUGUGUUGUGAGUUUGUGGGAGAGCUAUUUAAGGGAAAAUGCAUGUGACAUCCAAGGUUCUGUCUGCUCUCCACUCUAUCAAAUGAUAUGACACGUUAUGCUUCAAAGAAGGUACUUUUGGCUACAAAUUUUAAUUUAAUCUCAUUUUGAUUUUGAAAGUGCUUAAGUAUAAUGUCAUAUACUAAUUCAGUUGUAUAAAUAACUUGAUCUUUCUGGAAGAAUGUUCAACAAGUUGCUGUAUUUUUCCAAAAUCUUUUUAUUUGGAAGUUUGGAGUUUGGACAUUAAAGUUUUGUCUGGGUGUGUUGCAGGUUAUUAUUUAGAUUGUUUAUUAUUAUUAUUUAUAUGGUCCCUUCCAAUUGUGUUCAGAGCUUGGUGGUGGCAGAGAGAGAGCGGGUGACAUUGGUCUUUUUGGUCUGUUUGGUUUUUUGAUAUUCUUAGUUUAGGUUCUUCAAUUCAUCAUUCUCUUCUCUACGUCUUCGUUUUUUCAUUGACAUUUUUCCUCUCUCUUCAUCUCUUAUUCACUUUAUCGACACAUGAUAUAUCUUCUAACAACACAUGAUAUAUCUUAUAAAGCGUAGGAGGGUUCCAGAUGCGUUGUGGUGAGCAUUGUGUUGUGCAAUGAUUCUUCUCUUUGUUUAUAUUUUGAACAAAGGGAUCAACAUUGAGUCCAGACCUGCUUUGUCCAUGGAUUCCUUCAAAGCACUCGAGGCUGAUAUAUGACACACCAAUGCUUUAAACUUCUAGCUUUUGCCGCGCCGCAUCUUGAUGCCUGCGACCAGCAUAUGACAAUUCUAAAAAUAUUUGGCCCUCCUCUGCAAUAGAUGGAAUGUCGUAGUCAUGCAGAUGAAGUUACAUUUUACUACAGGAGUUAUGAUAAAAUUUGGAGAUUGGCUUAGUGAUAUCAACUGAAUUUUAUUUGUAUUUUCUUAAUUUUACAAACAAUAUUUUGUAGUUCGAACACCAACUUUAUUAUAAGUAUUAAGCCUUUUUUCCUUCAACAAUGUAUUUCAUUUUAUAUCUGUCUUGCCAAAAAAAAUCAUGCUUGCUAAAUGACUAAGGAGA